AACGUAGGUGGCGAGCCGUUAUCCGGGAUUCAUUUGGGCGUAAAGAGCUUGUAGGCGGCUGUCAAUAAGUUGGAACGUGAAAACCUCCGGGCUUUAAACUUGGAGAGGCCGUUCAAUACUGUGGUGCUAGAGGGUGUCAGGAGGGAAGUAGAAUUCCUGGUGUAGCAGUGAAAUGCGGUAAGAUAUCAGGAGGAAUACCCCGUGGCGAAGGCGGCUUCCUGGGACACAUCUGACGCUGAGAAGCGGAAAGCUAGGGGAGCAAACGGG
rnacentral:rRNA from 1 species